GUAGUAGCAAAUACUCUAGCGAGGCCCUGGAGGGCUGAUGCGGAGAAGGGUUUCGUGUGAACAGCCGUUGCACACGAGUCAGUCGAUCCUAAGCCCUAGGAGAAAUCCGAUGCAUCGCGGCCGUUCGUCGGCCCGGUCGGGCGAAAGGGAAUCCGGUCCCUAUUCCGGAACCCGGUCGCGGAACCGUCUCACGUCGGGCCCCCCGCGUUCGCGCGGGAAGCUCGUCGGGGUAACCCAAACAGACCCGGAGAAGCCGUCGGGAGGUCGGGGAAGAGUUGUCUUUUCUGUUUGAGCGUUCGGGUUCCCUGGAAUUGCCUAGCGCAGAGAGAGGGAAUGGAGCGCGUAGAGCACCGCAGUUGCGGCGGUGUCCCGACAUGCCCUUCGGACCUUGAAAAUCCGGGGACGGGCCACGUGGAGGUGUCGCGCCGGUUCGUACCCAUAUCCGCAGCAGGUCUCCAAGGUGAAGAGCCUCUAGUCGAUAGACUAAUGUAGGUAAGGGAAGUCGGCAAAUUGGAUCCGUAACUUCGGGAUAAGGAU
rnacentral:rRNA from 1 species